UUCACACAGGUGACUCUCCAACCCUUUGUUUAUUAUACCUUUGUUGCUUUGGCAAGCCGCCUCAGCCACCGGCUCACGCUGGUGAGUGCUUGCCAGAGGACCCCAAACUCUGAAUAUUAGUGUCGUCUGAGUACUAUAUAAUAGUUAAAACUUUCAACAACGGAUCUCUUGGUUCUGGCAUCGAUGAAGAACGCAGCGAAAUGCGAUAAGUAAUGUGAAUUGCAGAAUUCAGUGAAUCAUCGAAUCUUUGAACGCACAUUGCGCCCUGUGGUAUUCCGCAGGGCAUGCCUGUUCGAGCGUCAGUACAACACUCAAGCCUAGCUUGGUAUUGAGCCACGUCCGCAAGGGCCGGCUUUAAAAUCAGUGGCGGCGCCAUUUGGCUCUAAGCGUAGUAAUACUCCUCGCUAUUGAGUCCCGGUGGAUGUUGGCCAGCAACCCCCAACUUUCUAAGUUUGACCUCGGAUCAGGUA
rnacentral:rRNA from 1 species